UACGAGGGGGGCAAGCGUUGUUCGGAAUUAUUGGGCGUAAAGGGCGCGUAGGCGGUGCGGUAAGUCACCUGUGAAAUCUCCGGGCUUAACUCGGAGCCUGCAGGCGAAACUGCCGUGCUGGAGUAUGGGAGAGGUGCGUGGAAUUGCAGGUGUAGCGGUGAAAUGCGUAGAUAUCUGCAGGAACACCCGUGGCGAAAGCGGCGAGCUGGAUCACUACUGACGCUGAGGAACGAAAGCUAGGGGAGCAAACAG
rnacentral:rRNA from 1 species